AACGCAUAUUGCGCUCUUUGGUAUUCCGAAGAGCAUGCUUGUUUGAGUAUCAGUAAACACCUCAAAACUUUUGAUUUUUUUUUUAAAAAAAAAAAGUUUUGGACUUGAGCAAUCCCAACACCAAUCUUUUUUAGAUCGGCGGCGGGUUGCUUGAAAUGCAGGUGCAGCUGGACAUUCUCCUGAGCUAAAAGCAUAUUUAUUUAGUCCCGUCAAACGGAUUAUUACUUUUGCUGCAGCUAAUAUAAAGGGAGUUUGACCGUAUUGGCUGACUGAUGCAGGAUUUCACAAGGGUCGGCAACGAUUCUUGUAAAACUCGAUCUCAAAUCAAGUAAGACUACCCGCUGAACUUAA
rnacentral:misc_RNA from 1 species